AAGAACAGUCGAGAGAGGAAGAGGAUGAGGAGAUGCAGCAGCGGGUGUGCAGGUUAAGGGGUGAUUUAAUGGGGGAAAGAGGCGGGCGUAGGUUAGUGGAGUUGUUUGGAAAGGAUCAAAGUCUCUGAUCUGAUGGAUGGUUGAGAUCAGUUGGAAAUCAAUGCCCAAUUAGUUGUGUUGUCUGUCUCUGUGAUUUGCUUAUAGAAUUGGAGACUAUUGGUCAACUGAUUCAAUAGAACUGCAUUUGAGUUUCUCUUUCUCUCUGUAGAUUGAAUAGGUGUGUCUCUGAGUGUGGGUGUUGGGUUUCUGUAGAUUCACGGUGGUGAGAUGAAAAAAAUGAAAGAGAACCGACACAACUUUUCGUAUCGAUUCCCACAGACGGUGCCAAAUGUUGAUGCACAAAAUCGGAGGGGUCUUGGAAAACGUAAAUCCGACCGUGAAUCUACAAGAAAUGUAAAUAACACAAGAUGUAUCGUGGUUCACCCCAAUGUUUGGGCUACGUCCUCACUGAUUUUGUAUUUCUGAGGGAGAGAGAGCUCUGAAUAUGAGCGUGAGAGCUUUGAGAGGAUGAAUGGGCUUUGUGAGGGUGAGAAGGCCCUUCUAAUUAUGAGGGUGAGGAGUCCCUUUUAUAGAAUAAGGGCUCCUCACUUAUUACAUAUUUGCCCCUUUAUUUAUUACAUAAUUACAUUUGAGUCCCCCGAGUAUUUAUACUAGGUCUAAAUACGGAGGCCCUAAGUAUGGUAUAAACAACACUAUAUUUGGAUGAGAGAAAUAAAGUUGGAUUUUAGAUAAAAGUUAGAAUUUAUAAAUUGACAUGCACCAAUUCCCUUGUUUGGAUUUAUAAACAUACAAAUUUAGAAUUUCUGCGUGGAACAAAACUUGGAACUUGGGACCUCCAAUUCCCAGGUUUAAAUUCUAUGUAAAUAUGUGUCAUUUCUCAAUUUCUAUGAUUGGGAGUUUAAAAAUAACAAAUUCUGUAUUCAAUUUCAUUAUUCUUUUAGGUUAACCAAACAAGAAAAUUCAUAAAUUUUAGAAAAUAAAAUCCCGUCACUUCAAUUUCCGUCAUUUUAAAAUUUCAUAGUAAUCUUAAAUUUUUACAUCCAAACAUAGUGUAGAGUUCAAAUUUUUGCUUGGGCUUUGUUCGCCAAUCACUAUGAAGCCUUCUAUAUCGUUGACGAAAUUCCAUACUGAAAAGUUCAACGAGACAAAUGACUCUAGAAGUUUGUAUGCCAAAACCCUUUCCAUUCGGUUAUGUUCGAGGGAACGUUUGUUCACUCUGCAUGUUUCAAAAGGUGAAGUUUGAUGUUUAAGACUUUUGUGGAGUGCGGUUAGCAAUCGUUUGGUUUGGAAGAAAUUUUAAAUUUUGAAGACUUUUGGUUUUUUUUAGUCAUGGUGGAGAUCUGCUCUAAAGAAUUUGGUGCAUGUUUGUGUUUGUAAUUUGGUAUCACAUUUUGAAGUUUGUGUUUACUUUGGAAGUUGAUGAUUGGAUUAUUACUUAUGUAUUGAUUAACGUGCUUAUUUUGUAGGGAAGUGUUAUUGGCACUCCAAAAAUCUCAUUCUAUACUCCUCACAAGUAUAUUUUUCUUUCAAAAUAUAGAAGGUUUGGAGUGUAGAAUGAGAUUUUUGAAGUACCAAUAACAAUUCCCAUUUUUUAUUGAUGACACAUUAUUUGGUAUACAAAAUUUGGUUUAAAAACUUGGUCUCCUAGUAUUACUGUAUUGCUAAUUUCUCGCCCAUGGGAAGAUCGUUGUGAUUUAUGGCUUAAAAUUAGAGUGUCGGAUAAGAAUUUGUAAAAUGGUGAUCACGAUCAAGGUAUUAAAUAUCGAUAAUAUCAGAAAUAUCGGUAGUCCGAAAACACGGAAAUAUCGAUGGAAAUAUCGGGAUAAUAUCGAUAUCGAUAAAAAUAAUA
rnacentral:lncRNA from 1 species